UAGGGAAUCUUCGGCAAUGGGGGGAACCCUGACCGAGCAACGCCGCGUGAGUGAAGAAGGUUUUCGGAUCGUAAAGCUCUGUUGUUAAGGAAGAACGAGUGUGAGAAUGGAAAGUUCAUGCUGUGACGGUACUUAACCAGAAAGGGACGGCUAACUACGUGCCAGCAGCCGCGGUAAUACGUAGGUCCCGAGCGUUGUCCGGAUUUAUUGGGCGUAAAGCGAGCGCAGGCGGUCAAUUAAGUCUGAUGUGAAAGCCCCCGGCUCAACCGGGGAGGGUCAUUGGAAACUGGUUGGCUUGAGUGCAGAAGAGGAGAGUGGAAUUCCAUGUGUAGCGGUGAAAUGCGUAGAUAUAUGGAGGAACACCAGUGGCGAAGGCGACUCUCUGGUCUGUAACUGACGCUGAGGUUCGAAAGCGUGGGUAGCAAACAGG
rnacentral:rRNA from 1 species